UCCAGGACCAGGAUUGGGAGCCACUGCCUUAUGGGACACUUAUGUGUUUAAAGAGAUUUUUAAUAACUAAUUAUCAAUAUUUCACAUACUGUACAUUGGACAGCUUUCCAUGACCUCUUGUGAGAUCUCGGCAAAAAGUCUGACGAUUUAUUCCAAAACAUGAUGCAUGAUGGGAUACACUAAGCUUUGUAUAGCGCUCCAGAGCAGUAUUGGAGAGGUUUAGUGUGUGUUAAGGACGCUGUGCUUUGGCAUUAUUAAGACCGGGGACAGUCUUGUGCACACACUGUCACGUACACACACUCUCAAGUGGCCAAGACUGCAAGUGUGGGUAUCUGGACAGGGUCAAAGUCUUAAAAAUGAUCCCUAAACACAUCACAGUCUUAAUAAUCCAGUUUAACACUUGUAUGAUAUUGUACAAGCCCCAGGACGGUCUCAUCUGACACUAUCAAAGAAUUCAUAUGACUAUAGCUUGUUAUUAAUUACUUGCUUUCAAUAAUGGAUGCAUUUAACAUUUAAUUAUACAGCAUCUUUACAGAGGUGUAAUGUACAAGUUGCACGUAAUUAAUAAUAUGUCCUUCCUUCUGUCUUACAGGAUUUUUUCCAGAUAAUGCUGUUCUUCUUUUUCAGGUCUAAAAUAUCGAGCUCAACAGCUAUUUUAAGAGCCAACCCUCACAAACCUUCCUAAAACCUAAAAGAGCUAUUACUGAGUCUCAGCGAAUCUUGCCAUGAUCAGCUCUUCCCAGAAGAGAAGGAAGACCAAGGAAAUGAUUUGCUCAGGAUGAGGAAUGAAGAUGGUCAUCUUGUGCUCAAACAAACAGAAGUCCUCUGAUGAUCUCAUCAGCCAAAUGAGGGGUUUUGACCAAGUGAUGCUCUUGAAAGGAGUGAAAGAAGAGGAUGUGGUAAAUUGUCUUCAGAGAAAAGCUUCUCAAAAGAUCUUAA